rnacentral:rRNA from 1 species
ACGCUGGCGGCACGCCUAACACAUGCAAGUCGAACGAAGUAGCAAUACUUAGUGGCAGACGGGUGAGUAACAUGUAGGUAUCUGCCCUUUGGCCUGGAAUAACACGAGGAAACUUGUGCUAAUACCGGAUAAGUCUUUACGGAGAAAGCUUUAUGCACCAUUGGAUGAGCCUGCACUUGAUUAGUUUGUUGGUGGGGUAAUGGCCUACCAAGACUGUGAUCAAUAGCUGAUUUGAGAGGAUGAUCAGCCACAUUGGGACUGAGACACGGCCCAAACUCCUACGGGAGGCAGCAGUGGGGAAUCUUGCACAAUGGAGGAAACUCUGAUGCAGCGAUGCCGCGUGAGUGAAGAAGGCCCUUGGGUUGUAAAGCUCUUUCGUCGGGGAAGAAAAUGACUGUACCCGAAUAAGAAGGUCCGGCUAACUUCGUGCCAGCAGCCGCGGUAAUACGAAGGGACCUAGCGUAGUUCGGAAUUACUGGGCUUAAAGAGUUCGUAGGUGGUUGAAAAAGUUAGUGGUGAAAUCCCAGAGCUUAACUCUGGAACUGCCAUUAAAACUUUUCAGCUAGAGUAUGAUAGAGGAAAGCAGAAUUUCUAGUGUAGAGGUGAAAUUCGUAGAUAUUAGAAAGAAUACCAAUUGCGAAGGCAGCUUUCUGGAUCAUUACUGACACUGAGGAACGAAAGCAUGGGUAGCGAAGAGGAUUAGAUACCCCUCGUAGUCCAUGCCGUAAACGAUGUGUGUUAGACGUUGGAAAUUUAUUUUCAGUGUCGCAGGGAAACCGAUAAACACACCGCCUGGGGAGUACGACCGCAAGGUUAAAACUCAAAUGAAUUGACGGGGACCCGCACAAGUAGUGGAGCAUGUGGUUUAAUUCGAAGAUACGCGCAGAACCUUACCAACACUUGACAUGUUCGUCGCGACUCUAAGAGAUUAGAGUUUUCGGUUCGGCCGGACGAAACACAGGUGCUGCAUGGCUGUCGUCAGCUCGUGUCGUGAGAUGUUGGGUUAAGUCCCGCAACGAGCGCAACCCUCACUUUUAGUUGCCAUCAUUAAGUUGGGCACUCUGAAAGAACUGCCAGUGAUAAGCUGGAGGAAGGUGGGGAUGACGUCAAGUCCUCAUGGCCCUUACGUGUUGGGCUACACACGUGCUACAAUGGUAUCUACAACAGGAAGCAAAACUGCGAAGUUAAGCAAAUCCCUAAAAGAUACCUCAGUUCGGAUUGCACUCUGCAACUCGAGUGCAUGAAGCUGGAAUUACUAGUAAUCGUGGAUCAGCGUGCCACGGUGAAUGCGUUCCCGGGUCUUGUACACACCGCCCGUCACACCAUGGGAGUUGGUUCUACCUUAAGGCAAGGUUUCAAACCCUUGACCACGGUAUAGUCAGCGACUGGGGUGAAGUCGUAACAAGGUAGCCGUAGGGGAACCUGCGGCUGGAUUACCUCCUUUCU